rnacentral:rRNA from 1 species
GAUGAACGCUGGCGGCGUGCCUAAUACAUGCAAGUCGAGCGAACAGACGAGGAGCUUGCUCCUCUGAUGUUAGCGGCGGACGGGUGAGUAACACGUGGAUAACCUACCUAUAAGACUGGGAUAACUUCGGGAAACCGGAGCUAAUACCGGAUAAUAUAUUGAACCGCAUGGUUCAAUAGUGAAAGACGGUCUUGCUGUCACUUAUAGAUGGAUCCGCGCUGCAUUAGCUAGUUGGUAAGGUAACGGCUUACCAAGGCAACGAUGCGUAGCCGACCUGAGAGGGUGAUCGGCCACACUGGAACUGAGACACGGUCCAGACUCCUACGGGAGGCAGCAGUAGGGAAUCUUCCGCAAUGGGCGAAAGCCUGACGGAGCAACGCCGCGUGAGUGAUGAAGGUCUUCGGAUCGUAAAACUCUGUUAUUAGGGAAGAACAAAUGUGUAAGUAACUAUGCACGUCUUGACGGUACCUAAUCAGAAAGCCACGGCUAACUACGUG